AUGAAGAAUCUCGAUUGAGAUCUAUGAAUUUUUCUUGAGAUAUGAUGCAUUUUACAUGCAAUCUGUGGGGUGAGGUCGAUUUCGCUCAAGAUAGGAUGGAGAUUGGUUUACCUAAUGCAUGUGAAACCCCUAUCUCGUGUGGCAUCCUUGACAAUACUGCUUGAGUUCAAUAUUUUGGCGUUUCAAUGUGAUUUUCGACCAAGAUUGCCCCGAGAUUAACCCAUAAAAUACUUAUUUUGUUCAAAUUUUUAUGUUUUUCAAAUGCCUCUUGUGACCAAAAUCAAUUCAAAGGACUUCUUUCUUGCAAACUUGACCUAUUGUUCACAUUUAUUAAAGUCCGUGUCAUGUAUAAAAAAUAAGUUAACACCCAGACAACUUCACAUGUUUAGGAAACCCAUCUUUGGACACUUCUUGGAUGUGAAGUUGGUGUUCAGGGGACCUCUUUGAUAUUAUAUUAGAGAGAUCGAGGAGGGAUGAGAGAACACAAUUAGUUUUAAGUUAUUGGAUGAGAAUGUCUCAUUUGGUCAAGAGGAAUUUGAUAUAAUAAUGAGUUUGAGGUAUAGGCCCAAAUGUGAGGUCCAAUUUGAACAGAAUAAGGUUCUUCGAUUAAGAAGGCUAUAUUUUGGGGAUAGGACAAGCAUGAACGACUCUGAGUUUGAGAAGAAUUACCCAAUCCUUAAGUUUGAAAACGACGAGGAUAUAAUGAAAAUGUCAGUAAUUCUACAUUAUUGUGCUUGCGAUGAUUGGUUAGAGGAGGAGACGACACAUGGAUUAGACGAUGUUGGAUGUGAUUGACGACUGAGAGGACUUCAUCAGCUAUGACUGGGCUGAGAUGGUAUGGACCAAGACCUUUGCUAGUUUGAAAGGGGCACUUCAUGGAAAAGUAGCCAUGCACAAGAAGAAAACUGCUAAUAACAAAGUCCCCGAAGUCGUAUAGUCUCUAUAGAUUUUCUUUCGCAUUUUAGGUUUGGGCCUACCAGAUAGUGUCGUCAAUUAGUGGACGAGUUAUCCAUAGGUAGUCAUCAUCUACGAUACCACACAUCGUGCGGUGGAGUUACACACACUCAUCUUGGUUAAAGAUGAUUGAGUUCCAGAUUUUUGGGUCGCAAAUGGCCUGGAUACAUGAGAUUGAACCUACGAAGGACGAGCAUGCUAACCUUGAUUAGAGACUUGAAAUUCCUAUGAUGGAAGGUUAUGAGGAAAUCCCACAUGACCCUCCUCCUUAGCACUUUGAGGAUGUCCCACCACGCAUUGAUGUGGACCACCCCCUCCUCCUCUUCACGUGGACCAUCUCCCUUCUUUUUCUCACGUCAAUCAUCCCCCUCCUCUUCCUCCUGUCUAGAAUCCCCGAGCGAUGUGUAACUGCAACCAGCAUGUAUGUCACCUUCGAGCGAGAUUAGAUCGGAUGGAGGACCCCCUUACAACGAAUGGAGUCAUCCAUGUCGUAUGUGUCAGCCAAGUUAUCGACCAUAAAGGAGCUUUUGAUGGAAUUCGUUAAGGUAUUAUUAUUAUUCACGUGGAAUGUCUUAUUGUUUUUGUCUUAAUUAAAUAUUAGUUCUUACUUAUGUUUCUACUGCUUCCUUAAUAAGGUAGGAUUGUUGUUUCUUAGCCAUGCUAUAGUAAUGGUGGAAGGUACAUCCUUUAAUGCAUUGGAGGCUCAGACUUUGGUUGGCGACACAUUCGUGGAUGUUUCUGCUCUGAUCAUUGAUGACCAGCCGCUGACGAGGAGACGGGAACAUUUGUCUAUGACGAUCCUAGAAAUGGUAUCAUACUAAUUGAUGUACCAUCGAGGGGUGAGGAUCUGCCACCAUUGCCUCCCCAACCCAUGUUGGAGCCAAGGGAGGAGGACGACAAGAAAGAGAAGUAUACCAUGGAAAUUGCAUUCCCCAAUUUUGGAAAAAGGACAUAGGGCUAAGAGAAGAAAGAGGGUGCGCCCCUACAAUCCGGUGUGCAAGAUCCCCGUGAAGUUCGAUAAACAAUUUUCGGCAUACCUUGCGGAUCCUCAGAGAGAUAUAGAGAUAAGAAAGACAAUUAGAUCCUCAAGGGCGCUUUCGUGGUUCAUGGACUUCCUAACUUUGCAGACAUUCACGGACGACGACAUAAGUACUUCAAAUUUGAUACGUUCUCCAUUAUGUAUGUAAUCAUUUGAAACUAACUAGUUGCUUCUCACCGUUUCCAGACGAUCGACACAUUGUUCUUGUUAACCCAGACGAAGUUAUAGGUUAAUGUCGAUCCCUUGCACAUAAAGAAAUGAUUCACUACGACCGACCAUGCCAUUACGAAUUUUCUAAGGCAUAGUCCAGGUCUGUUCGAGGAGAUUAAGAAGGGCACUUGCCCGGUUGACAUUCAGUACACCUGGGGUAAAGACGCUACUUUAUUGAAAUAUGAUGAUCGAGUUACCGGAUUAUGACAAAACAUGGAUGGACGUCAGCUUCAUAUACAUGCCUUAUAAUAUUGAAGGAUGCCACUAAGUGUUGAUUGUGCUUGAAACGUCUGUGAUUCAUUCAUUGAUUUGACAUCGUAAGCAGACCUUAAUAAAGAACUAGACAACAUGAGGUGUGUUGUCCUGACUCUUGUUGCAAUGCUCUGGCGUGUUCACGGUGAAGCCAAAUCUACCUCUACCCCUAUGGCCGGUAUAUCAUGUGUGAUGCAACCUAACAAACAAAAUUGGGUAAAUGUGGGAUUUAUUGUUUAAAAAGUUUUGAAUAAGAUGUAACCCACUCCUCCUUCCUAACCCUAAACUCAAAAAAUAUCCCUAUUUCAUCAACAAAUGACAAUACAAUUGUCGGCCAAUAGAGCCUUCUUGUAAUUAAAAAUACAAUUAAUUGUUUUUUCA